UGGGGAAUAUUGGACAAUGGGGGCAACCCUGAUCCAGCCAUGCCGCGUGAGUGAUGAAGGCCUUCGGGUUGUAAAGCUCUUUUGGCGGGGACGAUGAUGACGGUACCCGCAGAAUAAGCCCCGGCUAACUUCGUGCCAGCAGCCGCGGUAAGACGAAGGGGGCUAGCGUUGUUCGGAAUUACUGGGCGUAAAGCGAGUGUAGGCGGUUGCCGUAGUCAGGUGUGAAAGCCUUGAGCUCAACUCAAGAAAUGCACUUGAUACUGGGUGACUAGAGGACCGGAGAGGAUAGUGGAAUUCCCAGUGUAGUGGUGAAAUACGUAGAGAUUGGGAAGAACACCAGUGGCGAAGGCGGCUAUCUGGACGGUUACUGACGCUAAGACUCGAAAGCGUGGGGAGCAAACAGGAUUAGAUACCCUGGUAGUCCACGCCGUAAACGAUGGGUGCUAGACGUUGGCGAGCUUGCUCGUCAGUGUCGCAGCUAACGCGUUAAGCACCCCGCCUGGGGAGUACGGCCGCAAGGUUGAAACUCAAAGAAUUGACGGGGUCAUAGCUGUUUCCU
rnacentral:rRNA from 1 species